GACGAACGCUGGCGGCGUGCUUAACACAUGCAAGUCGAACGGAAAGGCCCUGCUUGCAGGGUGCUCGAGUGGCGAACGGGUGAGUAACACGUGGGUGAUCUGCCCCUUACUUUGGGAUAAGCCUGGGAAACUGGGUCUAAUACUGGAUAGGACCAUGCUGUAGGUGGUGUGGUGGAAAGAUUAGUUUCGGUAAGGGAUGAGCUCGCGGCCUAUCAGCUUGUUGGUGGGGUAAUGGCCUACCAAGGCGUCGACGGGUAGCCGGCCUGAGAGGGUGGACGGCCACAUUGGGACUGAGAUACGGCCCAGAGUCCUACGGGAGGCAGCAGUGGGGAAUAUUGCACAAUGGGCGCAAGCCUGAUGCAGCGACGCCGCGUGGGGGAUGACGGCCUUCGGGUUGUAAACUCCUUUCAGCCAUGACGAAGCCCUUGUGGUGACGGUAGUGGUAGAAGAAGCACCGGCUAACUACGUG
rnacentral:rRNA from 1 species